GGAGAACAAAACCCGGGACGAGUCCCGGACUGCGUGUAUCCGAAGAAAAAGCAUCGGCUAACUCCGUGCCAGCAGCCGCGGUAAUACGGAGGAUGCGAGCGUUAUCCGGAUUUAUUGGGUUUAAAGGGUGCGUAGGCGGUCCGUUAAGUCAGCGGUAAAAUUGCGGGGCUCAACCCCGUCGAGCCGUUGAAACUGGCAGACUUGAGUUGGCGAGAAGUACGCGGAAUGCGCGGUGUAGCGGUGAAAUGCAUAGAUAUCGCGCAGAACUCCGAUUGCGAAGGCAGCGUACCGGCGCCACACUGACGCUGAGGCACGAAAGCGUGGGGAUCGAACAGGAUUAGAUACCCUGGUAGUCCACGCAGUAAACGAUGAAUGCUGGUUGUCCGGGUCGAAUGAGAUCUGG
rnacentral:rRNA from 1 species